AGAGGAGCGGGGCGGGGUGGGGGAAACGCGAAGGCAGUCUAGUAAUGUAAAGCUCUGCUGAGAGGGAGAGUGCUGAAGAAGGGGACAGCCUCUGUACCUGCGGCGCGGCCCGAGGGGCGGACGCGACCGGAGUGACGCGCUGGAGGCUGUUUAUAGCGCUGUCAGGACAGCGCGGGGAGUGGAGGCAGAGGCCUGAGAGCUCCCCGGAUGAUGGUGCACUAAGAAGGCAUCUGGAAGCCUGGGCCCUCAUGGCAUCCAACGGUGAAGGCAUGGCACCCUCACUGGGCUCUCCCUGGGCCUCCCAGAUGGGGCCCUGGGAUGCCAUCCUCAAGGCUGUCAAAGACCAGCUCCCGUCUCUGGACUCAGACUCCUCUUUGUCGGACUAUGGGGAAGAGGAGCUGUUCAUCUUCCAGCGAAACCAAACCUCCCUGAUUCCAGACCUGUCAGAGGAGCUGGCUGAAGAUCCUGCCGAUGGCGACAAGUCCAGGGCCUGGGUCGCUGCAGCUGAAGAGUCCCUUCCCGAGCCAGUUCUGGUGCCUGCAGAAUUGGCCACAGAACCUGGGGGCAGACAGAACACAAGGACAAAGGAUGCAUCCUCUCAGGAAGGAAGAGACCCUAGCAGGCCUUUUGAAAGCUCUGGUGAGGUCAGCGCUCUUCUUGGGAUGGCCGAGGAGACCCCCAGGUGGCUGGAAGGCGACCUUGGAAGCCUGUCUUUCAACACCAAAGGAUCCCAGGGUCCUCCCUGGGACCCACAGGCCGAAGCCACUCUCUCCUGCCAUGAAGGAGACCCAAAGGCAGAGCCCCUCAGCACUGCCUCACAAGAAUCUGUGAACCGCCGGGCCCUCCGACAGGAGAGAAGGAAGAUGAUAGAGACGGACAUCCUCCAGAAAGUCACCCGGGAUGCCUGCGGCCCGACCAGCAGUGACCAAAGUGGGGUGAAGGAGGCGCCCUGCCACGCUGCGGAGUCAGCUCCCAGAUCCAAAAUGCCCCUCGUGGAGCCUCCGGAGGGACCACCAGUGCUCUCGCUCCAGCAACUUGAAGCAUGGGAUUUGGAUGACAUCCUUCAGAGUCUGGCGGGACAAGAAGACAACCAGGGAAAUCGUGCACCUGGAACUGUGUGGUGGGCAGCUGACCGCCACCAAGUUCAAGACCGCAUGGUGCCGAGCGCCCACAACAGGCUCAUGGAACAGUUGGCCCUCCUGUGCACCACGCAGUCCAAGGCCUCUGCUUGUGCCCGGAAGGUGCCUGCCGACACUCCCCAGGACACCAAAGAGGCAGAUUCAGGAAGCAGAUGUGCCUCAAGGAAGCGGGGCUCCCAGGCUGGGCCAGGCCCGCAGCUGGCCCAGGGCAUGAGGCUUAACGCAGAGUCCCCCACCAUCUUUAUUGACCUGCGGCAGAUGGAGCUACCAGACCACCUGUCCCCAGAAAGGUCCGGAGGGCAGUGACUACCCCAUACCAGCCUCUACUUUGCAGAGUUGCCUGUUGACCGCACAAAGCCUCUGGUGGAUCCCGAUGGGGAGGAACAGGGACUUCAAAAGGCUUGGAUCAAUUCUCAAUUGAAAAGUGCUUUUAGCCUGGAACGAGGUCUGGCCUACAGUCCCCCUGGGUCCCUGCAGGGAGGGAAGAGGGGCAUGAGGCACACCUCCUCGGGCUGGGCUCUAUGCAAUAGAGCCCAACACGUCUAGGCUGGAGGGCAUCACCCACACCUGUCCUCACCUCCUGGCAGGACGUCCACCGGCCUCCAGUGUGGCUGCUGACCUCUUGCAUUGGGUCACCAGCAAAGCCCGAGUGCUUCAAGCCCCAACAGGAGUUGGAACGCCAGGUGGAGUGGGCACAUCCAGAAACCCAUUUCUCUCCCUGCAGCUCCAGCCACAGCUCCUCUGACAGUGAGGAGGAGGAGGAGGAAGAGAUGGCAGCUCUGGGAGACGCAGAGGGGGCAUCUCCUUCCUCCCUGGGGCUACGGUAACCACCAAGGGGCCUCUCGCCACCUGCAGAUGUCCCACCUCUGCUUUCUGCAGCAAGCCCUCCACCUGGCACAUUUACCGCCUGUGGUGAGGUCUUGCUGCACCCACCGCACAGGGUGAGGGGGAUGGCACAGCUUCCAUCAUCCUGCCCACGUCCGCUGGGUCCCAGCAGUGGCAGCAGCGAUGGGCCGCCUGAAUUGCAUUCUUACUCUGAAAUGGGAGCUGGGCUCACCUGCUUUUCUCCUGUUUCAGUAAGGAGGGCUGGGAGGGGCGGCCCCCACGGGGUUGAGUGAAUUUGGUCUCAUUGUGUCACAGGACCUGUACCGGGAAAAGCCAGCUUCUCCAGCAGCUCAGGGCCUUUCAGAAGGGGACAGCCCAGCCCGAGCUGCCUGCCAGCAAGGGGCCCGCGGGUGGGAGGGCUCAGGCCCCUGAAGACACAGCUGGAUCACGAACUGGGAGGAAGCAACACAUGAAGCUCUGUGCCAAGGGGCAGAGCGCCCAGGCUCGACUCCCAAGAGGCAGGCCCAGAGCCCUGGGGGAUGUUCCUGAGCCAGGGGCAGCCAGGGAGGCCCUGAUGCCUCCUCUGGAGCAACUAUAGCUGCCUCAGAGAUGGGGUCUCACGGUGUUGCCCAGGUUGGUCUGGAACUCCUCUCAAUCCUCCUGCCUAGGCCUUCCACAGUGCUGGGAUUAUAGCACUGUGAGCUGCCAGCCUGGCUUUUAAUGAACUUUUUGAAAGAGGAGUAACGAGAAUUUGCUUUCUCUUUCUCUUCUUUACCUAAGAUAGAAAGGCACACAUAGAUUCUCAAGGCCUUUGGCCUUUAUGAAUCUAGACAGAAUACUGGAAACCCCUGGAAAUGCUGUCCUGUGUAGAAUGGAGCAGCAGCCUCACUUGUUGAUCACCAGCAAAAACUGGGGACAUCUGCUUGCCCCCUGCCAAGACCCGGCCCCUCCACAGGACAUGCCUGGUCUUCCUGGGUCCUGUUCCUUUGCCAGCACCGUCUUGCAGCCCCGUCUUCACGGGAUGCUUUUGUAACUGCUGUGAUCAGCCCUGACCUGGGCACCUGUUUGUCUCCCCAACCUUGUCUCCAGGAUGUGUCCUGCUGUCUGCCCCGUGGGAAGAGCAGAGAAAUCAUCACCACCUUGGGCCCCACGGUGCCAUGGGCUCAGGCAGCACAGUAGGGCGCCGGGCCUUUGGGCCAGUGUCCCAGCUUCCCCUGGGGUUCACCCCUGGCUGCCAUGCCACUGAGGAUGGGCAGGGGUCUCUUCGCAUCAAGCCUUGUACCAGGCAAAAGACAGGCCCUGCUUGGCCGUGGUCACUGGCCGCCAAGAUCAGGGCUACAGAUGUCUGCUCUCUGGACCCCACGUGAUCUGGCCACUGGGGACCCCCACCCGACCCCACUCCCAAUGAUGAGGGGCAUUUUCAUUGCAAGUCAAAGGCAAGACAGGCUUCCAUAAAGUCCCAGGAGGUCCCUCCUGUAGGGCACAAGGCCAGGCUGCCUCCCAGCCCCCAGGCCCUCUCCCACCUACAGAGACCCUCCCCUGCCCCCUCCACUCCGGGGCCUGUGCCGCCAGAACCGGGCUCUGCCCCCAUACGCUGCCCUCGCAGCCUGGCGGCCUCCGCUGUGGCUGCCUAGCUGUCAAGAGCAAAGGCUUUUUUUUUCUUCAACCCCAUUUUCUUCCAUUUCUCCCACCUUUUUAAUGCCAGUAACCUCACUGAGAAUGUUUUACAGUGAUGGAAAAUAAACUCUGUUCCAAGUUCAA
rnacentral:sRNA from 1 species